rnacentral:rRNA from 1 species
AACGAACGCUGGCGGCAGGCUUAACACAUGCAAGUCGAACGCAUCCUUCGGGGUGAGUGGCAGACGGGUGAGUAACGCGUGGGAACGUGCCCUUCAGUUCGGGAUAACCCAGGGAAACUUGGGCUAAUACCGGAUACGUGCGAGAGCAGAAAGAUUUAUCGCUGAAGGAUCGGCCCGCGUCUGAUUAGCUGGUUGGUGGGGUAAUGGCCCACCAAGGCGACGAUCAGUAGCUGGUCUGAGAGGAUGAUCAGCCACAUUGGGACUGAGACACGGCCCAAACUCCUACGGGAGGCAGCAGUGGGGAAUAUUGGACAAUGGGCGCAAGCCUGAUCCAGCCACGCCGCGUGAGUGAUGAAGGCCUUAGGGUUGUAAAGCUCUUUCGUCCGGGACGAUAAUGACGGUACCGGAAGAAGAAGCCCCGGCUAACUUCGUGCCAGCAGCCGCAGUAA